rnacentral:rRNA from 2 species
GGUUAAGCGACUAAGCGUACACGGUGGAUGCCCUGGCAGUCAGAGGCGAUGAAGGACGUGCUAAUCUGCGAAAAGCGUCGGUAAGGUGAUAUGAACCGUUACAGCCGGCGAUGUCCGAAUGGGGAAACCCAGUGCAAUUCGUUGCACUAUCGUUAACUGAAUACAUAGGUUAACGAGGCGAACCGGGGGAACUGAAACAUCUAAGUACCCCGAGGAAAAGAAAUCAACCGAGAUUCCCCCAGUAGCGGCGAGCGAACGGGGAGCAGCCCAGAGUCUGAAUCAGCUUGUGUGUUAGUGGAACGGUCUGGAAAGUCCGACGGUACAGGGUGAUAGUCCCGUACACCAAAAUGCACAGGCUGUGAACUCGAAGAGUAGGGCGGGACACGUGGUAUCCUGUCUGAAUAUGGGGGGACCAUCCUCCAAGGCUAAAUACUCCUGACUGACCGAUAGUGAACCAGUACCGUGAGGGAAAGGCGAAAAGAACCCCGGCGAGGGGAGUGAAAAAGAACCUGAAACCGUGUACGUACAAGCAGUGGGAGCACCUUCGGGUGUGACUGCGUACCUUUUGUAUAAUGGGUCAGCGACUUAUAUUCUGUAGCAAGGUUAACCGUAUAGGGGAGCCGCAGGGAAACCGAGUCUUAACUGGGCGUUAAGUUGCAGGGUAUAGACCCGAAACCCGGUGAUCUAGCCAUGGGCAGGUUGAAGGUUGGGUAACACUAACUGGAGGACCGAACCGACUAAUGUUGAAAAAUUAGCGGAUGACUUGUGGCUGGGGGUGAAAGGCCAAUCAAACCGGGAGAUAGCUGGUUCUCCCCGAAAGCUAUUUAGGUAGCGCCUCGUGAAUUCAUCUUCGGGGGUAGAGCACUGUUUCGGCUAGGGGGUCAUCCCGACUUACCAACCCGAUGCAAACUACGAAUACCGAAGAAUGUUAUCACGGGAGACACACGGCGGGUGCUAACGUCCGUCGUGAAGAGGGAAACAACCCAGACCGCCAGCUAAGGUCCCAAAGUCAUGGUUAAGUGGGAAACGAUGUGGGAAGGCACAGACAGCCAGGAUGUUGGCUUAGAAGCAGCCAUCAUUUAAAGAAAGCGUAAUAGCUCACUGGUCGAGUCGGCCUGCGCGGAAGAUGUAACGGGGCUAAACCAUGCACCGAAGCUGCGGCAGCGACACUAUGUGUUGUUGGGUAGGGGAGCGUUCUGUAAGCCUGCGAAGGUGACCUGUGAGGGUUGCUGGAGGUAUCAGAAGUGCGAAUGCUGACAUAAGUAACGAUAAAGCGGGUGAAAAGCCCGCUCGCCGGAAGACCAAGGGUUCCUGUCCAACGUUAAUCGGGGCAGGGUGAGUCGACCCCUAAGGCGAGGCCGAAAGGCGUAGUCGAUGGGAAACAGGUUAAUAUUCCUGUACUUGGUGUUACUGCGAAGGGGGGACGGAGAAGGCUAUGUUAGCCGGGCGACGGUUGUCCCGGUUUAAGCAUGUAGGCUGGUUAUCCAGGCAAAUCCGGAUAAUCAAGGCUGAGGUGUGAUGACGAGGCACUACGGUGCUGAAGUAACAAAUGCCCUGCUUCCAGGAAAAGCCUCUAAGCAUCAGGUAACAUCAAAUCGUACCCCAAACCGACACAGGUGGUCAGGUAGAGAAUACCAAGGCGCUUGAGAGAACUCGGGUGAAGGAACUAGGCAAAAUGGUGCCGUAACUUCGGGAGAAGGCACGCUGGUGUGUAGGUGAAGUCCCUGCGGAUGGAGCUGAGACCAGUCGAAGAUACCAGCUGGCUGCAACUGUUUAUUAAAAACACAGCACUGUGCAAACACGAAAGUGGACGUAUACGGUGUGACGCCUGCCCGGUGCCGGAAGGUUAAUUGAUGGGGUUAUCCGUAAGGAGAAGCUCUUGAUCGAAGCCCCGGUAAACGGCGGCCGUAACUAUAACGGUCCUAAGGUAGCGAAAUUCCUUGUCGGGUAAGUUCCGACCUGCACGAAUGGCGUAAUGAUGGCCAGGCUGUCUCCACCCGAGACUCAGUGAAAUUGAACUCGCUGUGAAGAUGCAGUGUACCCGCGGCAAGACGGAAAGACCCCGUGAACCUUUACUAUAGCUUGACACUGAACAUUGAGCCUUGAUGUGUAGGAUAGGUGGGAGGCUUUGAAGCGUGGACGCCAGUCUGCGUGGAGCCAACCUUGAAAUACCACCCUUUAAUGUUUGAUGUUCUAACGUUGGCCCCUGACCGGGGUUGCGGACAGUGUCUGGUGGGUAGUUUGACUGGGGCGGUCUCCUCCCAAAGCGUAACGGAGGAGCACGAAGGUUAGCUAAUCCUGGUCGGACAUCAGGAGGUUAGUGCAAUGGCAUAAGCUAGCUUGACUGCGAGCGUGACGGCGCGAGCAGGUGCGAAAGCAGGUCAUAGUGAUCCGGUGGUUCUGAAUGGAAGGGCCAUCGCUCAACGGAUAAAAGGUACUCCGGGGAUAACAGGCUGAUACCGCCCAAGAGUUCAUAUCGACGGCGGUGUUUGGCACCUCGAUGUCGGCUCAUCACAUCCUGGGGCUGAAGUAGGUCCCAAGGGUAUGGCUGUUCGCCAUUUAAAGUGGUACGCGAGCUGGGUUUAGAACGUCGUGAGACAGUUCGGUCCCUAUCUGCCGUGGGCGCUGGAGAAUUGAGGGGGGCUGCUCCUAGUACGAGAGGACCGGAGUGGACGCAUCACUGGUGUUCGGGUUGUCAUGCCAAUGGCACUGCCCGGUAGCUAAAUGCGGAAGAGAUAAGUGCUGAAAGCAUCUAAGCACGAAACUUGCCCCGAGAUGAGUUCUCCCUGAGACUUUAAGUCUCCUGAAGGAACGUUAAAGACGAUGACGUUGAUAGGCCGGGUGUGUAAGCGCAGCGAUGCGUUGAGCUAACCGGUACUAAUGAACCGUGAGGCUUAACCUU